rnacentral:rRNA from 1 species
AACGAACGCUGGCGGCAUGCCUACACAUGCAAGUCGAACGCGACCUUCGGGUCUAGUGGCGCACGGGUGCGUAACGCGUGGGAACCUGCCCUUAGGUUCGGAAUAACUCCCCGAAAGGGGUGCUAAUACCGGAUAAUGUCUUCGGACCAAAGAUUUAUCGCCUUUGGAUGGGCCCGCGUUGGAUUAGCUAGUUGGUAGGGUAAAAGCCUACCAAGGCGACGAUCCAUAGCUGGUCUGAGAGGAUGAUCAGCCACACUGGGACUGAGACACGGCCCAGACUCCUACGGGAGGCAGCAGUGGGGAAUAUUGGACAAUGGGCGAAAGCCUGAUCCAGCAAUGCCGCGUGAGUGAUGAAGGCCUUAGGGUUGUAAAGCUCUUUUACCCGGGAUGAUAAUGACAGUACCGGGAGAAUAAGCUCCGGCUAACUCCGUG